GGACGCUUCCCAAUCAACUAUCCAAACAAGACGCGGCAAAACGGCGGAGACCGAGAGAGAGAGAGAGAUAGAGCGAGAGAGAGAAGAGAAGAAUAUCUAGAUGACAGACUGCUGAACUCCCAUGAUGCCAUCAGACGAUCAGAUACCAGAAAGACUGAAAGCGGCGGAUGAAGAGAAACACGUCCGUGAAGCCCACAGAAACUCCUCUCUCACUGGCCAAGGGAGUGACAUGAUGGGCCAUUCAUCUUCUCCAUCACAUCAUGACAGAAAACCACCGGAGGAACUGAAGUGAUGAGAACAGAUUCAGUUCCAGCGCGUGUGGAGGAAGAGAAGGAACUCCC